GUCCUAGUCCACUUUUCUGCCUCCGAGCCCUUUAAUCGUUUCAGUCCGCUUUCAGUUUAACUCUGUUGCAGCGGAUCCCAUGUCUAACCAUGGAGCUAUAAUACACAUAGUUUGCUAUAGCCCACGGUCCGUCUAACUCAAGAAUGAAUUUAAGACUUUUUGUUGAUCUUUGUUUGGUAUACUAGAUCUAGGCCGCCCCCUCCCCCUUGCUUACUUCCGGGUUACGCCAUUUGUGUUUCGCUGUUCGGUAUGACGUGUCCAGGCGAUGAUGUCAUAACCAAACAACAAUUUAAGCCACAGUCUGAUAUCAACAAGACUGGGUGAGCUUCAACUGAUAUGAGGAAUCGUGUGCUCUAGUUUCAAGCAGCAUUUGAACGACGAAGUUGAAGUCACCGACGGAAUUUUACUACAACAAGUCAGGACUGACUGUAAGAAAUAUGGAAACGCUGCCGACAGUUAUCCGACUCCUGUGUGGCCUGUACUUCGUGUACACGUCUUUCGUCUGGUCAGCUGGGUCACUAUUGUCACUGGCACUCUUUGCAGCUUCCAUUUUUCUGUUGCGGUCCCCGCGAGACGGAGCGAUGACGUCAACUCUCCAGAACACACGGUCUCCAAGGCAACGGAGUAACCAUGGAGACGAGAACAUCCCAAGGGACGCGGAGGAAAGAUAUACGCGGCAGGUCUUGGAUCUCGUGUGUUACGACGCCGGUUCGAGUAGUUCGCUGCAGAACUUCACGCGUGUGAAGGAAGGGACGGAGUGCGUGUUCGCCAGGUCGGCAAGACUGUGGGGGUCGGCGGAUUGGGCGGAUCAGCUCAGCUUAGAGGAAAAUGCAAGAAGGU